GAUGAACGCUGGCGGCGUGCUUAACACAUGCAAGUCGAACGAAGCACUUAUGUUUGUUUCUUCGGAUGAAGAGGCUUGUGACUGAGUGGCGGACGGGUGACUAACGCUUGGGUAAGGUGUCUCUUACAGGGGGUGAACAGAUAGAAAGGACUGCGAAUACCGCAUAUGAUCACGGAUGCGCAGUUCUCGCGGGUGAAAAGGCCGGUGGGAUGAGUUGGACCCGCGUCGGAUUAGGGAGUUGGUGGGGUAAUGGCAUGCCAAGGCAACGAUCAGUAGCCGACAUGAGAGGGUGACAGGCCACAAUGGGAAUGCGACCCGGACCACUAUCGUACGGGAGGGAGCAGUAGAGAGUAUUGCACGAUGGGGGAAGCCGUGAUGAAGCGACGCCGGGUGAGCGAAGAAGUGUUUCGGUAUGUACAGCUGUAUGAGAAGGGGAGAAAAUGACGGUACUUGAUUAAGAAGCACCGGCUAAAUACGUG
rnacentral:rRNA from 1 species